rnacentral:rRNA from 1 species
UGCAGUCGAGUGCGCGGUUGUAGCAAUACAACUGGCGCACGGCGCACGGGUGCGUAACACGUGGGUAACCUGCCCUUUGGUGGGGAAUAACCCCGGGAAACCGGGGCUAAUUCCGCAUAAAUCCGCAAGGAUGAAACCCAAGGCGCCGAAGAGGGCCCGCGCACGAUUACUAGUUGGAGGUAACGGCCUACCGGCAAUGAUCGUUACUGGUCUGAAGGAUGGCCAGCCACCUGGAACUGAACACGGUCCAACUCCUACGGGAGGCAGCAGUGGGGAAUCUUGCGCAAUGGGGAAAGCCUGACCACGACGCCGCGUGGGGAUGAAGCUUCUCGGAGUGUAAACCCCUUUCACUGGACGAAUACCUCCAAGAGGGGUGACGGUACCGUAAAAAGCCCCGGCUAACUACUGCCACAGCCGCGGUAAGACGUAGGGGCCAGCGUUGUUCGGAAUUACUGGGUGUAAAGGGUUCGUAGGCGGUGUGGCAAGUCGGGAGUGAAAUUUCUGGGCUUAACUCAAACUGCUUCCAAACUGCUGUGCUUGAUGUGGGAGAGGCGCGUGGAAUUGCAGGUGUACGGUGAAAUGCGUAUAUAUCUGCGAACACCCGUGGCGAAAGCGGCGCGCUGGACCACUACUGACGCUGAGGAACAAAGCUAGGGAGCAAACAGAUUAGAUACCCUGGUAUCCUACCCUAAACAUCGACUUGGGGUGCCCCCGUUCGGGUGUCUCCCGGAGCUAACGCGUUA